CGCCGAGAAUGCUUUGCGCUCGUUGUCCUCGGGGUCUGUUGACACAAAUCAGCUGACGGAAGCGAAGGAAGUGAGGCGGUUUUCCGACGUUAUUUCGGGUUUUGCGAGGUCAAGAAGAGCAAGGUGGAGGCAGAAGCUGAUUCACGCAUGUGCAGCUAAGUAUGGAUGCAGCUCCUCCAGCUAUGUCUCAGGGCUCCAGUCCAAGAUGACAUGACCAUUACAUCAUGAAAAUAAUUGGCCUGAGGGGUGGGUGAAGUCAACAUUCCGUCAUGGGAAACUUUGGUUGAUGGCCAGGAUAACAGAAACUGUCAUGAGAAUUCCGUCUGGAGGCCUAGGGUGACGGGAAUGACUCGCCACAAGUGCACAAAGCUCUUGGAGGAUGACUGGAGUCGGUGGGCAUUUAGGGAGGGGCUCUUGCCUUAUUUGCAUGGAUGAAUGAGUGCAAUAUGCUCAUCAGUGGGGCAUGACUGGAAGAGGAGUGCUGGUUGCAGGAAGGAUACUAUUUCCAUGCUCAGGAUCUUAUUCCUGCCUGCUGUAACUGGUGGCAUGGUUUGUAUUACAGAAAUAUUGUGAAAAAAUAAAGAAUGAGACAAAUAUCAAAAUGUUACUUAUUGUUGUUAUUAUUGCUCUGAUUUAUGGACUUCCUAUAGAGAUGAUGAUGGUCUAAUACCAUCUGGAUAAAGCAAAUCUAAUGCGAAUUAAAGAUGGAGAAUGGCAAAAAAGAUAAAAGUACUUUUGCAGAAAAAGAGAAAAUAACAUUGCAAAAGGGAGGCAUGGAGUCUUGCCAUCACAUACAAGUGUAUGUGACUGCUCAAAUAAACCUGAUACCUGUAUUUUGAGCCAUGUACAGGCAGUGAAGCAUCCAGUUCCAAGGAGUUAAUAGCAUUAGGUAAAAAUAUUUUCCCAAAAAUUCAAGAAAAGGGGAAAGCAGGUGAGGUCAGAUAGGUCUGUUCAUGGACUCCUUGGUGGCUGAGUAUCUGCUGGGUGGCAUUAAGUCAAAUUUUUAAACAAGUGAAAGAUGAUGUCAUAAUCAGCUGUUAAAAUCAUCCUAUAU
rnacentral:misc_RNA from 1 species